GGGGAAAUGACAAGCCAUUGUUCAAUAUUGACUUAGAGAGAGUAGAAAAAGUUUCAAUGGAACGUCCAUAGGACGUAAGACCGUAGGAGCCGCCUCCCACUUCCUAUAUGGUUACAUGGAUUCUAGGCUAACACGCAGUCCAUCAAUUCACAGUCAAUGCGUGCACGUACUAGUCUAUUAGAUCCAUUGACUGUGAAUGAUUAGAUCCACGCUGAGAAUGGCGGACACGAGAGAAGAGCGGCUGCUGAAGGCAAAAGCAACUUUUAAGAAGAACCUGGACACUUAACAUGCACACUUUCUCAAAGCUAGGGAUGUUAUGACUCGUGACAGUUAUAAAGUUUGUAAUUAUGUCACGUCUGUCGUAUUUGACCGCAAAAAAAGUACUUUUUGCUCGUAGCUAGUUUUGCACAAUGGGAUUUUCAGCCGUUCCUGGAUCUAACCCCACGACCAAAAAGUGACUCUGCGUUCUUCCUGCUUGUAAGAAACUACGAGUUAGGAGGAAGCGUCUGGGGAGAGCAAGAGACCUGGAGGCGGAUGUGUUCUGAGGAUACAACGGGAUUCGCUUUGAACGAGACAACAUGGACAGACCAACCAGUAGCAGACGUGGGAGCCGCAGACUGAGGACGAGACCACUCAAAGGGGAAACUGAGCUCAGAAUAAGGUAAGCAGAAAACCUUUUCUAAAUUUCUGCCACGCUCUGGCGUGUUUUCCCUAUAUUUGAGUGGCCUCGCUCUUAAGGUUUGGUACAUCCCUAUGUUUAAAUUGACAUACACUGAUUAAAGGCAAGAGAAAGUAGGAAAAAAAGUUGUUUGCCGUUCCUUCUUACAAGGACUCUUUUAGAUAAGUUAAAUCCGCAGGGGUCAAAGAGGACUGUUAUAACUUGCGGCGGCUGUUGAGAGGACCCCGCUAGGGGUUCAAGUGGUCGUGAACGUUGAGAAAUCCGCAGGGGUCAAAGAGGACUGUUAUAACUUGCGGCGGCUGUUGAGAGGACCCGGCUAGGGGUUCAUGUGGUCGUGAACGUUGAGAGAGGCCUGGUUUUUUAAUAAAAUAAAAUAAAAUUUAAAACA
rnacentral:lncRNA from 1 species